UUAAAAAUUUCAAUUAAAAUUCAAUAUUUUUUUAAAAAAAAUCACUAAAUUGUGCCUAAAGAACAUAACUGCCAUAUUAAUGUUUUUAUUUCUAUAGUAUUAGAAAACAUUUAAUACUUAUAGCAUUAAUGUGUUGAUUUGAUACCAAUUGAGUAGAAUGUGCUCAGUCCAGUUUACACUCUGUCAUGAGUAUCAUCAAGUAAACACAUGUACUUUUCAAUAGCAAGCAUUCUCUCGCUGUAACCUUUGACCUUAACUUUUACAAAGUAUUCAGUUUUUAACUGCAAUUUUAAAGGCUGAACAAUCAGAACCCUUGUGUUUGUGAACUGUAAUCUGAAGCAGAUUAAAGUAUGAGAAAAAACAGACUGUUCCCUUGUGAAGGUCUGUCAUACCAUAUUUCAGCUUUGUGCUUAUAAUUUGACUAUCUAAAGGGUUGUGAUGAUCAGUUCUUGAUAUAUAAUUGUCCACUUAAUAAGGACAUGUAUAUUAUCAUUAUCUCUUAUGACUGUAGUCAUAGAUAAUUUGGGGAUGUACCAUCUUAUGAAAUUGUUGGUAUCCCUUUAUAAUUUCUCGUCAUCCCAGGAAAUCCAUGUGAAGGCUGAUUGAUAAAGCACUUUAGCAUCUGUUCAGGUAGUUUUAAAAACAACUUUUCCCCUUCAGGAUAAGAGCUUCCGGGUUAUCUAAAAAUGCAAUAAAGAUCUUAAUAGUCUAAGCUUCUUGGCAAAUAAUCUUUCAUCAGGGUUUCUUUUACUGAAUGAGCACAAUGUUAUUUUGAUUUUAUUUGUCCCAAAGCACCCAGCUCCUUGUACAGUUUUUAAUGGUGUGGCUCUAUGAAAGAAGCGGCUGAGACAUUUGAUGCACACACUUGAACCAAUAGUGGAUCAGUAGCUUUGUGUGUGUCUCCUAACCCCGGUGUAAUUCGGGUGGAAAGGUAUUUUAUCUCACAGGAAUAUGUAGCUAUGUAUUUUACUAAUUGUGAAACACUGGAAUUAAUGAUGCAGAUAACUUGGUGUGGUUUUUGAACAGCUCUGCAGUAUUUUCUUGUUGUUACCAUAAAUUGUAUUUAAGUGCUUGCCCUCCACUGCUUUUAAGUUGUACCAGUAAAACCAGUAACUCUCAAUCAAUCCCCUUUCCACUUCGCACUCCCUAGCUUAGUUGGUACAGUUGUUUUCAUUCUCCUUGUAAUGUGACUUAUUUUCAAGUCAUGGUGCACUGCAUUUGUUUGUCACUAGCUGGGCAUGUGCCAAUAAUACUCUGUCCAUUCCUUAACUGCCAUCUCUGUUUUGCCUGAGUUUUCUUCUACUGAUAAUGGCUUUGGGGCAUGGAAAAAGUAGUUUUUGCUAUUAGACUUGUGAAGGAAAGAGAGAGUGAAUGUAUCGGACUUUGUAAGCCUGAAAACGAAUAUUUGGAUCCCUCUACUAAACAAGGGCUAUGUACUAUACAGAGUAAUCUUGUGGUGGGAGAUGCUUGCAAGCCAGAGGUCUGUAGGCGAGGGAAUCUGCCUCUCCCUGUAUCUAGGCCGAAUGUAAAACCCCUUAUGUUGUAUCAAUGGAGCUAAGAACUAUUUUUAUUUGCCUGUGAUAUAUUUCGUUUCUAAUAAAGUGUUCUAGGCUCCAGUGAGAACUGUCUACUUUGAAUUGCCAUCUCCUCCCUUUCUUCAUUUGGCUGAUAGACUCCUGGCUAGCUGUCCAUAGAUCAAUGCUUCUCCCUAAAGCAUCCUCGUUUCUUUAAAUGUGUUCACUCGUGCGUGAUCCUAAAAGCCUUGACUACAUCUAUUAUGCAACCUGGACCAGCUCCUGUUCCACCUGGAUGUCUAGAGCUGUUGGGAGAUUUUGACAUCUUAAAUGCUGACUUUUGCUUUUGAAAUAAGGUUCAAAAUGUUUGUUGCAUUUAAGAUCUGUGUGUGUGCGUGUGUUUGCUCUGUAACCCCAGCUCCAGGUGUUGGAAAAUGCCUGUACUGUGAAAGCCUGCCGCUGUCAGAAGUAGAAGCACUUUUGUCAGCUUCCAGAAAAUUAUGUACAGAGUUGGAGAGAUUUAACUACAAGAUUUAUCUCUAAGAAUCCAAAUUUUUAAAUGUCAUUGUUUUUUAAAUGCUAAUGUUUGUAAAGCACCUUCAGUUCUUUCAAUGAAAGGUGCUACAUUCCCUCGGUGUCAAUUAAUAAAAAGAUUAUAGGAAGUUUGUGAAAAAUAAUUUUAUCUAAUGCAGAAUUUCCUGAGAAGAAGG
ensembl:lncRNA